ensembl:snRNA U6 U6 spliceosomal RNA
GUUCACUUAGGUAGCACAUGUACUAAAAUUGGAAUGACACAGAGAGGAUCAACAUGGCCACUACACAAGGAUGACAUGAAAAUUCAUGAAGCAUUACAUAGUUUU